CAAACUAUGGUCCAAGUAUGAAGAGAUCUCCCUAGCUAAGAGACAGCUGCAGUGAAGAACAUUCUAGUGUGGGAACUGAGGCUGAGGUGAAAGGGAGCUGAGUUGGUGAUCUGUACUGGAAUAGCCUACCUCCCAGAACGCUGGAUCAGCCUUCUAGAGAUGGAGCAGAAGUGCCAGCUCAGAGGAAACUCUAGAAAGGAUGGAGUGCAUCCUUCAGGAGGCUGCCCAGGAGAAGGAAGGCCCCUGGUGGCCAUGGAGGACACGGAGAAUCCAACGAAUGAAUCCAGUGGCCUCGUAUUCGCCAACGCUCCAUUGAAACCACAGCUACGCUCCAGGCUGGACACUCCCUGUGGAGCAAGGCUGGAAGCUGAACUGUGCUCAGAUGAUAUCCCGGCAGUGAAAACACCAGAGUGCUAAAUGAAAAAUCUAUGCUCUCCCCACCAACUUCUUCAACUAGUGGGCCGCACAGGCUCCAGCAAGGAUUAAUUUGAACACUGUCAUUUCUUGGCAUCCCAAGCUGAAUUUUCCAGGACACAAAGGCAUGAGGUAUUCCAUCAUCUUGAUAAUUUUUAUAGCCAGUGGGGAGGUAGAAGGGAACAAAUAAUUGGAUGCACCAAGCUAUGGAACAAAUGAAACUAUGAAACGUUCACGAUCAAGUCCUGGAUCAAAGUGACUGGCUCGUAGAUAGGCAAGAAAUUUGGCCUCCUUCAAAAUAAGAAAUGAGGAUGGAGCCUCAAGCAGUGGGUCUAAAAGUGAGUCUUUCACAGGCUUGAGGAAGAAUACAGUGUUUCCCAUUAACCACCCAACACUCAAGAAGAAAUGUCACCUAAGAAACUGACUUUGGGUUACAAACUAGGGGCAAAUACUGGAAGGAAAUAAAUCAAAAUAUGCACACUGGUUGUGCUAUAAUGAUGGGAUUACUGGGUAUUUUUUGUUCUUUAUUUUCCUAACUUCCUGUACACCAAUAACUUAUAGCAUAUAUUUUUUUAGUUUCUUAAAAGACCUUCCCUUUUUUUUUAGCAUAUCAGCCACCAAAACACCCAGUUAAAAAGCUUAGCACCCAUUCUUGACUCCUUUAUUUUCGUCUUAAAUAUCUCAGUUCAUGCAUCCUCUCUUCUCUGUCUCUUCUUUCUGGGCCUUAGUGCAGAUGCUUGGUGUCAUUUCACUCCUCUUUCUGGUCAUUGACAUCCUCCCCUAAAUGGCUUCCCCACUGCUGGUCUUACUAAUCAUCCAGUCCAUCCUCCAACGGCAGCCAGAGUGACUUUCUAAAAUAGAAACCCCUUCAUGUCACAUUCCUGCUCAAUCUCUUCAAUAGCUCUUCGUUGCUUCCAGGAGACAAUUUAAAUUCCUUUCCAUAACAUGCAGGGCUCUUCAAAACCAAACCCGCCAAGCUCUUUAACUUCAUCUCUCCCUCCCAAACAGCUCUCCCCACUGCCACUACCCCAGGUCGCUCAUUCCACCUACAGGCCUUUAUACAAGCCAUUACCUUUGCCGGAAACGCCCCACCUCCCACCUGUGCAGCUUCCCAGGCCUCUGUGAAGCUCAAGCAUGCUACACUUCCCCACCCACGGAAUCGCUGAUGGCCACCCACCUUGUCCUGAUGCUGAUCCUGUCCACGUCACAGCACUGUACACAGUUUUGGGGCUGUGCACCCCACAUUUGCCUCUCUCACUAGACUGUGGGCUCUGGAAAGCAGGGACCCUGUUUGACUCAUUUCUGGAUCCUCAGCACCUGGCUCCUAUAGUGCCCAGAACAGGGGAGAUGUUUGGUAAAUAUUUGUUAAUUUCAUAAAAGGAGGAGUCAAUCAAGGAAUUAAAAUGUGGCUUUCUGCCAUACUUAUAUUAUUUAGAACUGUAUCAUCUACUUUACCACAAUUAAAAAUUAAAAUUUUUUUAAAAACCUAGAUCAUCUAAAAUACUCAAGAAAAGCCAAAUCACAUCAAAUGCCUUUUGGUUCCUAGAUUCUAGGCUUUUUGUCUCUCCCACUUCUUACCCUCCCAGGCG
rnacentral:lncRNA from 1 species